GCGGCUGGAACUUGGCCUGGAACGCGGUCUUCUCGGCUCCAGUUUCCCGCCCAGGCCCCGCCCACCCGGCCGCCCCGCUGGUUCGCACCGCUGCUCCGGCCACCGAGGAGCCCAAAGUUGGCGGCGUCCCGCGGACUCCGGCGGAGAGCGCGAGGGAGUCGCGGCCGACUCCUGUACCACGAAGACAACUGGAGGCCGGCGGGGGAGGCGGGCCACGAGGGGCUGGGGCGAGGGAGCUGGGAUGCGCGGGCCCGGCUCGCCGGGAAACAGGUUGCCGCGGAGUCCCGUCCCCUCCCCCUCUGCGGUCCCCGCCGCGACCUGAUUCCCGCCCUGCCCGGGGAGCUAACCCAGCCGCCUCCGGGGCGCCCUCCUUCUUCCUGGAUUCCCACGGCUGGACCAGAGCCCCUCUGGCAGCCGGGUUAAAGGCUCCUUCAGCAAGGUCAAGGCGCGGCCGGCUGGCACCUGGGGAUUUUUUUCCAGCCGAGCACUGGCUUUUCAAUCGCAUUGUUAAGGAUCAUGGCAGCGGCAGGAAAUCCGAAGGGCCCCACAGCCCAUCAACGUGAUACACAGGCUGCGGCGCUGGAGGGAAGCGGCGAAACGGGGAGAAUAAACGCAACAGAAGCAAACUGCUGUCUGCAGAGGCGAGAGGCGAAGGAACGGAAGCCAUACCCGACCCCAGCCCCAUCCCGUCCCCAUCAGCGCCGGGCUAGCGCAGGAAACCAGGAAUAGGUGUAGGUAAGGGUGGCAGCCCGGCAGAGCCAGCGUUCUACUCCCUCUAACCCCUCGCCAGCGUGGGCCUGGAUGGCUGGGCUGCCUGGGCAUCUCCAAGGGGGACCAGGCACCGCGGGCAGGUUUCUAAACACGUGAAGGGCACAGGGCUUGAAAGACAAGGAGGGGCGCCCAGGAAGGGCGGAAAAGAGGGGCUUUGGGGCUCCCCAGGACACCAAGUCAGUUUCUGAAAACGGCGUUCCCUGGAAGGCCUUCCAACACCUCCGAGGGAAGACUUGGAGCUCUGAAGACCCAAUGAAACCUCAGUUCUGACUGACUCCUCCUCUGCGAUCAAUUCCGGAUGCCCCCACUUAGUCCCUGCCUCGGUAACCGGUUCUUUGGGGACAGCAGCAUCAGCACCCGACGCCCAUCGCACAAGUGGGCGCCGUGGUGCGAGGCGUAUCCUAGCUACCCAGGCCGGGGUGGGGGCGCCCCGGUACUUACACUCCCCAAGCAGGCAAACUUUCAGGCUUGUCUUUCGAGAACCGGGAGCUCGCAUCACAGUUCCGGGUAAUCACCGAGGCAGCUUAUGUAAUUGCCCGCGAUGCCGCUCAGCAGAUCUCUCUCCUUACUCGGCCUCAGAGCUCAGUACAUGGGCACCCUCUUCCCCCCACCCCCCACCCCGGCGAUUGGAAUCCCGAGCUUGCCCCACCACCGCCUUCUACAAAGCAGCGGGGUGAUCUCGUGUGCUACAAACACCAAGCCAGUAUGCAGGUUCAGGCAAAACUCUGGCUGCCUCCCUGCGCCCCUUUCACUGCGUCGAUGGUUUACAGAUAACUGCAUUUCUAUAAACCCUCUCUCCACGGUUAGGGGGUGGGAGGGAGUUAGAGAUCGGGUGGGGGCUUGGCGCGGUACUGUUGAGGGCUCUGCACCCAACUGAGCAGUAAUACACUCAUCCACAUGGACGCGGGUGCAUAAAUCGCCUUAACAUUUUGCCCUGAAAGCGGAGCCAAUUUCCAAAGUUAAGGACCACGCAGCUGAAUUUCCAGUACUUUCCAACCUCGCCUAGGCGGGGGCAGGCAGAGAAGGGGCGGGCAGCGGGCAGCUAACUCGCCCGACCCCCCCGCCAAGAAGGACUCACUAGGUGAACCCCCCGCCCUUCACCCAAGUAGUUGGUUGUGUAUUCCUCGGUUGCGUGUGUGUGUCCACACACACACACACACACACACACACACGCCGCCCCACUACCUUCCAGUCUGCUCCUCCAAUGUAACGACCGCAUUUAAAAAUGGCAAUUAAAAUGACUGAGGAGCUCGGUGAUCACAUUUCAACCCAGAGCACAUUUCCCGAAGCUGGGGGUGAGAGUAGUCAUACAGUCACACUCACACCCGGGAGCCCUCCAAGCGUCCAUCUGGCGGCUGCAGCCUCAGUUGGCUCCUAGACGAACAUCAAUACCGCGGCCGGGCGCCCGGUGAGGAGAGGCGGGCGCCCCGCGGGUUGCAGAGGGCGAGGAGCUGGGGUCGCAUCUCCAGGAUCUGAGCUCCAACCACCGCCCGUGCGGGGCUGCUGCAGCCGGCACUUGCCCCGCAGGGCAGG
rnacentral:lncRNA from 1 species